AUAUGAAAAUUUGAUUUCGACUCAAUAAAAUAAUUAGGUAUCUAAUUCAUAUA
rnacentral:tRNA from 1 species